GCUUGCAGCCAGACUUGCCCGCAGUUGCUCACCCGAGCCUUCGGCCCGGGGCACUCUUCUGCGGGCAGGCCAGCAUCAGUUCAGGCGGCCGGACAAAGACCUCUGUCACGUAUCUUCCUUCGGGUUGACCUUAUAGGGGAGGUGUAAUGCGGCCAGCCUGGAUUGAGGUCCGCGCAUCAGCUAGGAUGCUGGCGUAAUGGCUGUAAGCGG
rnacentral:rRNA from 1 species